rnacentral:rRNA from 1 species
GAACUAACCCAUCUCUGUAGCAAAAGAGUGGGAAGACCUUCAAGUAGAGGUGACAGACCUAACGAGCUUAGUGAUAGCUGGUUACUUAAGAAAAGGAUCUUAGUCCAACCCAACUUUUACAAAAUACACCUAAAUAAAAACUAAAAUUUGGAGUAAUUCAAAUAAGGUACAGCCUAUUUGAAUCAGGAUACAACCUUUAUAAAAUGGGUAAUUAAACUUUUAUGUAAUAAAGUAGGCCUAAGAGCAGCCAUCUUCAAAAAGCGUCAAAGCUUAUUCACAAAUCAACUUAAUCCCCCUAAUUUUUAAAAACCCUUAAUCUCUAUUAAGUAACUCUAUAAAAUUAUAGAACCUAUUAUGUUAAAACUAGUAACAAGAAUAAGAACUUCUCUUUAAUGCAAGUGUAAAUCAGGCUGGACAAACCACUGAUUCUUAACACUUUGAAGCCAGAGUAACAACCUACCAAGAAAAUCUUACUUCACUUAAUGUUAACCUGACACAAGAGCAUUCUCAGACAGAUUGAAAGGAAUAGAAGGAACUCGGCAAAUAUUAACCUCGCCUGUUUACCAAAAACAUCGCCUCUUGAUAAUAUAUAAGAGGUCCAGCCUGCCCAGUGACUCUGUUCAACGGCCGCGGUAUCCUAACCGUGCGAAGGUAGCGUAAUCACUUGUUCUUUAAAUGAGGACUAGUAUGAAUGGCAUUACGAGGGUUAUACUGUCUCCUUUUCCUAAUCAGUGAAACUAAUCUCCCCGUGAAGAAGCGAGGAUGAACAUAUAAGACGAGAAGACCCUAUGGAGCUUUAAACUUCCAGCAAUUAUCUUUUUUAUACCAACCUC